CUCCAUAUUAUCUGGUGGAUCCCCAUUAGAGCUAUUGGUUUUCAUCUUCUGGUGCUUUCUCUCCUAUAGGAGAAACUAUAGUCUGUGGUGGACGAAGUUGGUCAGCAAACACAACGCACUACUCCUAUUGACAAAUGCCUAUGAUCUGUAGUCUGUACAAUUUGAUAACCGAGCAAAAUUACAGAAAAGUUGUUGUUCAUUUCACGGUAUUCUACAUGCCCAACUUUUCAAGAUUCGAUCUAUUUCUGAUUUCUGAGGAAUUGUGCCUUCAAACAUGUUCUUACUAAGAGACAAAUGUUUCAACUUUGUAAGCUGAUCAAUAGAUUUUGGAAUGGUACCAUUGAAACAAUUCGCGAUGAGAUCCAAAAAAGUUAGCCUAGAUAUUCGAUGAAUAUCCGUAGGGAAUGGUCCAUAGAAUUGGUUACCAGAAAGAUCAAGAAUUUCCUGUCUUGAACACUUGUACAAAACUGUUGGAAGUUCACCUGAUAAGUUACUAUCUGCAAGUUCAGUAUCUACAAGAUUUUUGAGUUCACAAAUGAUUGGCGGAAUAAUAUUUCCACCAAGUUUUUGUUUUCUUAGACUUAUUACUGUGACAAAACCAUCACUAGAACAUGUAAUUCCACUGUUUUUAUUUGUUGUUGGUGUACAACUUAUAAUGCUGAAACUUCGCCGAGUAAGAUGAAGAUAAAAAUCUGAUUUGUCGACUGCAUAGGUUACAAGGUACUGCACUGCGUAUGCUGGUGUAACCACGGUAUUUGAUGAUGUUCUAAAGCAGUAGAGUCAUUCUCUGUUAUUUUUUUUUUCACAAGUAUCUUGCAACAUACACAUCCAACAGCAACCCAAAAGAUUCAUUUAUAUCAAAAGAUUCUUUAUUCUACUUCUACUAGAUGUUAGUAGAAGUAAAAAUGCGGUUCAAGUGCAUUCAAUUUAUUUCCACAUAUAUCUCUAUUGCAGGAUUGCAAUCUAACUCUUUAUUAACAACAAGGUGAACUAUAAGUUAUAGUUAUUUAAAAAAUUACACCAAUUUAUCAAUAUCAAUUUUACUGUGAUGCACUAUUUUGCAGGCAAAGAUAUAUUGCGGAUUAAUCUUCAGAUAAUAUGGAGAAUAUUUUGGCAAGGAAAUAGCUCCUGUAGGUGCUUUUGCUAUGACAAGGCUGCUUGUAAAUUUCAACAGGGAAACUUAAGUGAAUUUCCUUAUCAUGGUUUCUUUCUUUCAUUAUGAUAUAUUUUGUACUGCCAAGCACCUCCAUCAUCCACCGUAUUUGACAUAAUAAUUUGUGUUUGUACAGGUUUACAUACAACAACUAGAAUUGACCCAAACCAGUUCCCAUUUUUAACAUAUAAGGAACAUGGUCUGUUGCAAAAAUGUCUUGCUCACCACAACCAAUUGUUGUAAUAUUACUUUUUGGUAAUUUCUAUACCCCAGAUCUGGGAGUUAGCAGGAACGCAGUGAUCAAGGGUGUUUUCCAUCCUUAUAGUCGAACUAAUUGAAUUAAACUGCUUUUGUUUCCUUUUGCUCCGAAUCUAUUGCCAUCGU